GUCUUCAAAGUGCGAUGUAAAUUAAAGCCACAGUCAGGAAGGGUUUUUGCUGAACUUUGCUAUAAAGAGACAAUUGCAAUGGCUGUGUCUCGUAAAGAACGCAGGGUUUAAUUAAUAAUCUAGCCAAGUUUACAUAGUCUAAUGAAUUCCCACAGGCUUUUUGUUUAAAUUUGAGGAUGCAGUCCACGUAUGUGAGAUGUUAUACAGCGCCCCCACCCAGCAACGAUUUACAUAGGUCUACAAAAAAAAGUCAAAUUAAAAAGAAAA